GGGAGAGAAGGGUGAGGAGUGCGGGGUGUUGCUGGAUAAGGACGGGCCCUUCCGGCUCUGCCACGGGGCGGUGCACCCCGAAACGUACUACAGGGAUUGUAUGGCCGACCGGUGUCACCGCCAUGGGGUCUGCCGGGUCGUCGCCGCCUACGUGGCUGCGUGUCAGGAGGUGGGGAAGGAGGUCCUGGAGUGGAGAUCCGAGGGGUUCUGUGCCCCCGACUGCCCCAAGGGCACCCGCUACGCUCUCUGCGUCCCGAACUGCGCCUAUGAGUGUCGCGAGGGCUGCGUUUCCCCCCACGGCCCCCCCAGGGGGGAGAAUAAAUGUGGGGCAGCGUCAACGGCGGUCGGCUCAGGGACUUGUAGGGCUGUGGGGACGCAUCACUAUCUGAGCUUCGAUGGGGCGGCCGUGACCGUCCGGGACAACUGUACCUACGUGGUGGCACGGAGGUGCAGUGAGGAUGGAGCCCACCCCCCAUUUGAGGUGACGGCCACUGACCCCCGGGGGGGGGUCAGCAAUCGCAGCGUUGUCAUCGCUGUGCACGGACAUCACUUCGCGCUGCGCUCCGGGAAACACGCGGUGGUCGACAGCUCCGCGGUGCCGCUGCCCUUCUGCCUGCCUCGCCGGGCCGCCUGCUUGGCCCACAAAGGUGCCACCAUCCUCCUCGUCACCGACUUCGGCCUCAGCGUCACCGUCGCCCCGGGGACAUGUUGGCCGUCACCGUGCCCUCCUCCUACCACAACUCCACCUGUGGGCUCUGUGGCAACUUCGAUGGCCGCCUCCACAACGACCACCUCCACCGCAACGACGUGGCCACGUGUCACCGGCUCUGUCCUGGUCCCAAAUGUCCCCCGUGUCGGCAGCCCCCCAAAAAUGAAUACAUCCACAGCAAGCUCUGCAACGUCCUGCGAGACCCCCGGGGUCCUUUCGGGGUCUGUCACGAGGUUGUCCGUCCCGACGUCUUCUUUGACAUCUGUCUCUGGGAGCUCUGCGAGUCCCCCGGGGACAGGGAUGCCCUUGGAGAGGUCCUGGCAGCUUACGACGCCGCCUGUCGCCAGGCUAAGAUCCGUGUGGACCGUGGCGCAUCCCCAGGACCUGCCCUUCGUGGUGCGUGCCGGGCACCGGCUGCCGACCCGGGAUCAGCUGCAUCCCCCACCCUACGUUAAUGAGGAGGGACCUGUCUCCAGG
ensembl:lncRNA